rnacentral:rRNA from 1 species
GCAAGUCGAACGGUAAGGCCCUGCUUGCAGGGUACACGAGCGGCGCACGGGUGCGUAACGCGUAUGCAACCUACCUUUAACAUUGAGAUAGCCCUGAGAAAUUGGGAUUAAUAUCGAAUAAUAAUAUAAUACAACCUGGUAUAAUAUUUAAAGCUCCGGCGGUUAAAGAUGAGCAUGCGUAACAUUAGCUAGAUGGUAAGGUAACGGCUUACCAUGGCAACGAUGUUUAGGGGUUCUGAGAGGAUGAUC